rnacentral:rRNA from 1 species
UACGGGGGGGAGCAAGCGUUGUUCGGAUUUACUGGGCGUAAAGGGCGCGUAGGCGGCCAGCACAAGUCAGUUGUGAAAUCUCCGAGCUUAACUCGGAACGGUCAACUGAUACUGUCGGACUAGAGUACAGAAGGGGCAACUGGAAUUCUCGGUGUAGCGGUGAAAUGCGUAGAUAUCGAGAGGAACACCUGCGGCGAAGGCGGGUUGCUGGGCUGAUACUGACGCUGAGGCGCGAAAGCCAGGGGAGCGAACGGG